CCUCAAGUUGCCCCGGCGGCCGCCCGAGCGCUACCACGUCCCGCACCCGGCCGGCCCGGAGUUGGCGAACGUCCGCCUGGAGGUCUCUGGUAUGCUGCUGCAUGAGUCAACGCAAACCUGAUUCUGUGCUUUCUGGAAUUACCACCUAAAACAUAUAAUUAUUCUGCUUUGCUGAGCUGUGGGAGUGUGAAAUGUCUACCUGUGUGAAGAGACAAGAUCAGUGGUUAGGCGUGUGGGAG